GAACAUCUCACAGCGCUCACACGUGCAGUCAACCUUCCAAAUGCAAACCAAGGCAGACCCCGCUUAGCAAAGGGGACCCUUCAUGCUGGCUACCACCAGGCCUGCUCUCCUGCCCUCGGAAGAGUGGAGCGGAUCAGCCCGUCUGGGAAAGAUUUCCCCAGCCAUCUGGAUCGUGCCUUCCCACUGGAGAAGCCUGAUACUGGGGUGGGGGGGAGACAAUUCUCUCCUUGCCUGCCCGCCAUAAACGGCUGCUAAGGAGCUGCUUCCUCCAGCCCAGGAGACAUCCCCCCCCCCAAUUAACUUGUCUCAAAGCAACCACCAGCCAGCCAGCCUGGCCAUUCCUUCCUUCCCAGCAGUUCUGUGGGUGAACAUUCCGUGACGUCACAGAAGCUCAGCCAAUGGUGGGCAGGGCCAGAGCUUGCAGGCCCAAAGCCACGUUCCGUGGAGGGCGUUGGGGCCAGCCAGCCAGCCAGGAACUCACCAGGGGAGCAGCUGGGACCCUCCCACUCCCGCAGAAGCAACGGCUGCUCAUCGAGAGCUUGUUCUGGAGGGCGUCUGUCAGCUUGUUCACAAUCUGCUCCUGCGCGGUUUCGGAGACGUCCUGCAGGCCAAAAAAAAUGCACGUCUGCAGCUAUUUUCUCCGUUUCGGCAUUAGAUGCGCCACUUUAAUUGUCUUCAAUCAAUAGGCUAAUUGAUCUCCAGCCGGAAGGCCUCGGGUUGGCCGUCCCCAUCCAUCCUCCAGGGAUGGCCUGGAAGGAUUGGGUUUCCUUGCAGGCUGCUGGAGCCAGGCCGGCUGCUCUCCAUGGGAACCAGCUCGGAGAGCCCACCUCUGCCGGGCACGUCACAGGCUCUUCCAGCCCGGAUGAGUCCCUUCUCAGGUUGCAACACCGGGCCAGGUCUGUGAGCCACACUCCUGCGUGCACGCAGAGGAACACGGGGAGCUGCCUUCUCCUCCUCCCGAGUCAGACCCUCGGCCCACCCAGCUCAGUCCGGUCUACCCGGACGGGCAGUGGCUCUGCAGGGAUUGAAUCUGGGACCUCCUGCGUGCAAAGCAGGCGCCACAUUCCUGCCUGCUGCCGGCCCGGGUUUGUCAGAUCAGCCUGCCUUCUGCAUGCAAAGAGGGUCUCUGUUGCCGCUGAGCUGAGCCGUGACCCAGAGCCCACCCCUUCCCCAAAGAUUCCCUGCAGCCUCUUGGAGGACUCAGUGCAGGGAUGAAAAGCCAGCCAGCCCGCCUAAGCCUGCUGCUUGCUAGAAGGACAAGCCAGAUGCCUGGAAGCCACUGAUUCUUAUGCGGAGGAGUGUCUGGCACGGCCCAUUCACACCUCCUGGCCAUCCAGAGGCUCUAUUCAACUCCCCCACCCAGCAAUCAACUCCCUGCUGAUGGAGGAAAACCCUCUGGCCUGUCCAGGGCGAAGAGAGCUCUCCUCCUUGCUCUCCAGGGAGACAUCCAAAGGGAAGUGCCAGAAGCAAAAGCCUCCUCCGGAUUUAGUUGGCGAAGAAGAGCCUGCAGAAGCCGAGGAGAGCCCUCCUUCAGACUGCCAGCACCUCCCUCAGGACGUUAUCUGAGCAAUCUGGCCUGGGCCCUUGUGCAGAUAAGGAGGCCUUAAGGCUCUUUUUUUCCCUCCACACACAGACGCAUCCUGUCUUCCCAAAGGACUGGAACUGCUGUGUUUUUCUCCACCUGCUGCUGCUCUAUUUCAGAAGAGGAGGUCGUGGGUGCCGGACGGAGGGAGGUGAGCCGAGGCCGGUGACCAGGAGGACAAUGCAAGUGACAGAUGGGCUAUGGACACUUAUUUUCUUAUGGCUGUCUUGACCUGCAUGUAUGUAUGUACGUAUGUAUGUAACCUCCCGCUUCGGGAACGUGAUCCAUAGCAUAUCUGCAUGCUAAACAAACCAUGCCAGCACAGCGGCUGACCACGCCAGGAACUCCUGCUGACAACGCCCCUGGAGGACCCCCUGGACCUGGAGAAGACCCUUCGCCAUCAAGGACCCACGCCCAGAGGCUGCACUUGGCAGAAGACUGGCACGGCCCUGCCGGCCACACGCAAGGUCAGGCUGGGAUUCGUCCCUCCCUUGGGCCUUUUGGACGCUCACUGAACUCCUUUAACCGGACUCUACCCAAACCCGUAGGGACUUGCGUACAGUGAUGUAUUCUCUCUGCCUUUGCAAGCACACAUUCGUUAGUACGCGGCCGUGUUUUAUCGGGAAACUCUAUUCACUACUGCUCUUGUAAACCAUGUGUUAAACAUUCUCUAAUAAAAGUCAAUCUGUUCUUAUCAGUUUAAUAUCUGAUACGUCCUCUAUUUGAGGACUAUAUAUUAAAUGGAUUUUUGGGACUGGGAGAUGGAAUAGGAGCUUGCUCCAUCCACUCCACGCAUCGACCUGGUAUUGCAGUACCUCCAGGAACGGUGCACCUCCCCUCUGGGGAGAAU